GCCUGAGUGUUUUGUCAGGCCAUGCUGAUAUGAGCCAUGGAUAUGAGUCCAUGCUGGCCUGACAAAACACUAUUUUCUGCCGCAGCUCCCCCCACAAUCCAACCGCCAGCUUUUGUUCAACGUUUCAACUAAGAUUGUCUUGUGGAUUGAGUGUGUGGAGCUGUCAGUCCCUGGCUGGGCCUGCCAAGCUGCACGUCCUGGUCAGAGGGGAGGCCGGGGCAAAUGGUCGGGGCGUCGUUGUGGGUCCGGCCGACCUCCCACCACUGAGCAGUGGACCCCCUCAACAGAUUGAGCCUCCAGCUGGCCGGCACGGGUCCGCCUUGGCCCCAUGCUGAGGGCACACAUGCCACAAAACACAAAUUCCCACUUGCACGCUAACACUAACACUAACACACUCAAACAUGCACAGACACACAAACACCAGUCUGCAGAGUACUCAUUCACAGCAAUUUAAAUAAAGAUCAUGCUCUAAA